rnacentral:tRNA from 1 species
GCCCGGAUGGCGAAAUUGGUAGACGCAAGGGACUUAAAAUCCCUCGGCCAUCGCGGCCGUGCCGGUUCGAUUCCGGCUCCGGGCACCA